rnacentral:rRNA from 1 species
UACGGGGGGGGCAAGCGUUGUUCGGAAUUACUGGGCGUAAAGGGCGUGUAGGCGGCCAACUAAGUCCGACGUGAAAUCCCCAGGCUUAACCUGGGAACUGCGUCGGAUACUGGAUGGCUUGAAUCCGGGAGAGGGAUGCAGAAUUCCAGGUGUAGCGGUGAAAUGCGUAGAUAUCGUGAGGAAGACCAGUGGCGAAGGCGGGUCUCUGGACAGUUCCUGACACUGAGGCACGAAGGCCAGGGGAGCAAACGGG